rnacentral:misc_RNA from 1 species
CGAUUAUAGAAUAGAUCCGUAUGUUUUUUCUUCCCACAAAUUUCACAAGAUUUGUGGCAAUCAGUUGAGAUCCGCGGUCAUUCAGACAAGAUUUUCUAAGGUUUGUGUGCUGAUUAAACCAGCGAAAUCUAAUAUCAAAUUCUGCUAUGGCUUGACUAAAAUCUGCAUGGGAAUAUUGGAAGGCAAUCAGAUGAGAUGUGCUUGAGGCUGUGUUUUCCAUUAGUUACAUGAUGAUGCGCCACUACACUUUUCUUGGAGGAAAAAGUUACGUACCAAGAAAGUUACAAACCAAGUUCAGUUAGUUAGAGGUCAUUUUUAAGUUUUAGCUAUACUUUGUUCUGAGGAGUCUAAUAUUGUGGUCAUCACUCUUUACUCACAAGAUAUUUGUAGAUAGCUCUGAGUCCACACCAUGAUAAUUUUAGAUAGCUAAGAGUCCACUAUUGGCUCCUGUGAUGAUUAUUGUGACAUGAGCUUGGAGGAUUUAUCAAGCAUAGAGAUGAAGUGUGCGGGUUCUUGUUGCAUCGGAGUGCCUUCUUGGAGGACGGCUAAAUG